UUUCUGAUUCAGUAUGUCUGGGUGGGGCCAGAGAGCACGCAGGUCUAACAAACACCCAGGUGAUACCUAUGAUCCCUGACCUGAGUA
rnacentral:miRNA from 1 species